UUGACGAAAAAAAAAUUCACG
rnacentral:piRNA from 1 species